rnacentral:rRNA from 1 species
GACGAACGCUGGCGGCGUGCUUAACACAUGCGAGUCGAACGGAAAGGCCCUGCUUGCAGGGUACUCGAGUGGCGAACGGGUGAGUAACACGUGGGUGAUCUGCCCUGCACUUCGGGAUAAGCCUGGGAAACUGGGUCUAAUACCGGAUAGGAGCCAUUUUUAGUGUGAUGGUUGGAAAGUUUUUUCGGUGUAGGAUGAGCUCGCGGCCUAUCAGCUUGUUGGUGGGGUAAUGGCCUACCAAGGCGGCGACGGGUAGCCGGCCUGAGAGGGUGGACGGCCACAUUGGGACUGAGAUACGGCCCAGACUCCUACGGGAGGCAGCAGUGGGGAAUAUUGCACAAUGGGCGCAAGCCUGAUGCAGCGACGCCGCGUGGGGGAUGACGGCCUUCGGGUUGUAAACUCCUUUCGCUAGGGACGAAGCUUUUUGUGACGGUACCUAGAUAUGAAGCACCGGCUAACUACGUG